GACAGAGGAUGCAAGCGUUAUCCGGAAUGAUUGGGCGUAAAGCGUCUGUAGGUGGCUUUUAAGUCCGCCGUCAAAUCCCAGGGCUCAACCCUGGACAGGCGGUGGAAACUACCAAGCUGGAGUACGGUAGGGGCAGAGGGAAUUUCCGGGUGGAGCGUGAAAUGCGUAGAGGAUCGGAAAGAACACCAACGGCGAAAGCACUC
rnacentral:rRNA from 1 species